AUUGGGCGUAAAGAGCUCGUAGGCGGUUUGUCGCGUCUGCCGUGAAAGUCCGGGGCUCAACUCCGGAUCUGCGGUGGGUACGGGCAGACUAGAGUGAUGUAGGGGAGACUGGAAUUCCUGGUGUAGCGGUGAAAUGCGCAGAUAUCAGGAGGAACACCGAUGGCGAAGGCAGGUCUCUGGGCAUUAACUGACGCUGAGGAGCGAAAGCAUGGGGAGCGAACAGGAUUAGAUACCCUGGUAGUCCAUGCCGUAAACGUUGGGCACUAGGUGUGGGGGACAUUCCACGUUUUCCGCGCCGUAGCUAACGCAUUAAGUGCCCCGCCUGGGGAGUACGGCCGCAAGGCUAAAACUCAAAGGAAUUGACGGGGGCCCGCACAAGCGGCGGAGCAUGCGGAUUAAUUCGAUGCAACGCGAAGAACCUUACCAAGGCUUGACAUGAACCGGUAAUACCUGGAAACAGGUGCCCCGCUUGCGGUCGGUUUACAGGUGGUGCAUGGUUGUCGUCAGCUCGUGUCGUGAGAUGUUGGGUUAAGUCCCGCAACGAGCGCAACCCUCGUUCUAUGUUGCCAGCGCGUUAUGGCGGGGACUCAUAGGAGACUGCCGGGGUCAACUCGGAGGAAGGUGGGGACGACGUCAAAUCAUCAUGCCCCUUAUGUCUUGGGCUUCACGCAUGCUACAAUGGCCGGUACAAAGGGUUGCGAUACUGUGAGGUGGAGCUAAUCCCAAAAAGCCGGUCUCAGUUCGGAUUGGGGUCUGCAACUCGACCCCAUGAAGUCGGAGUCGCUAGUAAUCGCAGAUCAGCAACGCUGCGGUGAAUACGUUCCCGGGCCUUGUACACACCGCCCGUCAAGUCACGAAAGUUGGUAACACCCGAAGCCGGUGGCCUAACCCCUUGUGGGAGGGAGC
rnacentral:rRNA from 1 species